UAACACCAGCGCCACAAGUGGGAACCACAAUUAUUGGGUCUAAAGCAUCCGUAGCCGGUUUGAUAAAUCCUUUGUGAAAUUGUUGGACUUAAUCUAACGACGUGCAGAGGAAACUGUCGAACUAGGAACUGGGAGGAGUCAGAGGUAUUUUUGGGGGAGCGGUAAAAUGCUAUAAUCCCAAAAGGACCACCAGUGGCGAAGGCGUCUGACUAGAACAGCUUCGACGGUGAGGGAUGAAAGCCAGGGGAUCAAAACGGAUUAGAUACCCGAGUAGUCCUGGCCGUAAACGCUGCGAGCUAGAUGUUGCAUCUUCUCCGUGAAUAUGCAGCAUCGAAACGAAGGUGUAAGCUCGCCACCUGGGAAGUACAGUCGCAAGAUCG
rnacentral:rRNA from 1 species